AUUAUUCACAUGUAAAUAUUGAAACAAAUAAUAUUGUACUGUUUCAUAAUUUAAAACUGAUUAUGUUACAGUCUUUUCCAGUUGAUAAAAUUGCAAAUCAAAAACUUUUAGAUUUUACUGUGUGGAUGGCACAGGAAGAAAACAAGAGUACUUACAAGAACAUGAAACAUCUUAUUAUGAAUGUAUGCAAUCCUCAAAAAAUUAUUCUACAAAACACGAUCGAGAAAGAGCUUUAAAAUCCCAAGAAUCCUGCAAAAUGUUUAUUUCCUGUACUAGUCGAAGAAUAAUAGUAUCUAAAAACAUUGAAACUGAUUGUUGUGGAGUAACAUAUUUUAAAACACAUUAUGAGAUGAGGAUGAUAUAGAGUACUUAUAUAUACCAAAAUCAGAUAAAUAUCUCUUCAAAGUUUAUUUUGAGAGUUUUUUCAAAAAUUGCACUUCAGACUGUUCAGGACAGCAUAGGAGGUGAAUUAAAAAUAAUUGAUUUAUUUACAAGAAAAGACGUCACAAACAUUAAACACCCUUGUGGCAAUGAUAUGAAAGAUGGAUAUAGGUACAAACAUGACGCAACCAGUGUUCAUUUUUGGGUCAAAUGCUUACAGACUACGUCAUGUCCAAUAUUAUUUUACAAACAACAGGGCAUACUAAUGGAUAUUCAUCCUGAAUUUAACAUUAUUUAUGAUUUUUGUCUUAUUUUCAUGAAUGCUGUGCCAAAAUGAAAUGUUAAUUAAGUUUGGUAAAUCUUUUAUCGCAAUAGAUGGAAAUCAUGAACUCAUUUCUUAUGACUUUGAACUUACGACAGUAUUAGUAAAAAAUGAAUUUAGGAAUGGAUUUCGUAAUGCUUUCUUAUUUUCAAAUAGAAAAGAUACCUACUUUUAUUUACCAAGUUUUUUUUUAAAUACAUGUGUGUGAUGGCAUUAUAUGUACAGUUGAGUGUUUUCAUAUCAGACAUAACUGACACCUUUUACAAUGCCUGCUCAAAUGUAACGGGUUCUGUUCCUAAUAGACUGUUUUAAGUGCCUGGCACAUAGAUAGGACAUGUCAAGUAAAUCUUAAUAAAAUAUCUGAUUCUGAAAAAAAUCUUAUGUAUACAGAUGUAUUAAUGAUGUUUUAGAGAGUAUUAAUAAUAGCUUUUUGGGUAGAAUUCUAAGUGAUGCAGGUACAUACAAUUUUAGUAAGUAUUUCCAGUAGAACUACUGCAAUAACAUCCAACAAUCUAUUGUUAUAGGAAAGGUUGUGGAAUUAAUACCAAUAUCAUAAAAUGUCCAUAAAAUUUUGGACAAAAAAGUAUCCAUCAGUUGUUAUCAGUUAAGCUUAAAACUUGGCACACAUGGAGAGCUAUACUAUAAUACAGGGUGUAACAAAAA
rnacentral:lncRNA from 1 species